GCUUGGCCCUUAACACAAAUAGCACUAACACAAUGCUAUCCGCCAGAGAACUACAAGUGAAAAGCUUAAAACUCCAAGGACUUGGCGGUGCUCCAUACCGACCUAGAGGAGCCUGUCCUAUAAUCGAUACUCCCCGCUCUACCUUACCAUUUUUUGAAGUUCAGCCUAUAUACCGCCGUCGUCAGCCUACCUUAUGAAAGAUAAAAAGUAGGCAUAACAGUUAUUUACUAAUACGUCAGGUCAAGGUGUAGCAUAUGAAAUGGAAGAGAUGGGCUACAUUUUCUGCCCUAGAACACACGAAUCCCGCGGUGAAACCCGCCCUUAAAGGAGGAUUUAGCUGUAAGAUAAACAAGAGAGUUUACCUAAACCCCGCUCUGGAGCGCGCACACACCGCCCGUCA
rnacentral:rRNA from 1 species